rnacentral:rRNA from 1 species
GUCGGUACCGGUGCAGGUGCUGCAUGGCUGUCGUCAGCUCGUGUCGUGAGAUGUUCGGUUAAGUCCGCUAACGAGCGCAACCCUCGCUGUGUGUUACAAGUGUCACACGGUACUGCCGGUCUUAAGCCGGAGGAAGUGGGAUGACGUCAAGUCAGCAUGGCCUUUAUGUCCUGGGCUACACACACGCUACAAUGGCCAACACAAUAGGUUGCUAAGCCGCGAGGUGGAGCCAAUCCUCAAAGUUGGUCUCAGUUCAGAUUGCAGGCUGCAACCCGCCUGCAUGAAGAUGGAGUUGCUAGUAACCGCAGGUCAGCUAUACUGCGGUGAAUACGUUCCCGGGGCUU